AAAUUUUUUUUUCAUCAAACCCAUACGUGUGGGGUAUCUAUGGAUAGGUCUUCAAAAAUGAUAUUGAGGUUUCUAAUAUCAUUUUUUUCUAAACUGAAUAGUUUGCGCGAGAGACACUUCCAAAGUGGUAAAAUGUGUGUCCCCCCCCCCCGUAACUUCUAAAAUAAUAGAAUGAUAAAACUAAAAAAAAUAUAUGAUAUACAUUACCAUGUAAACUUCCACCGAAAAUUGGUUUGAACGAGAUCUAGUAAGUAGUUUUUUUUUAAUACAACUGAAACUCAAAACAUUUUUUUCAUCAAACCCAUACGUGUGGGGUAUCUAUGGAUAGCUCUUCAAAAAUGAUAUUGAGGUUUCUAAUAUCAUUUUUUUCUAAACUGAAUAGUUUGCGCGAGAGACACUUCCAAAGUGGUAAAAUGUGUGUCCCCCCCUGUAACUUCUAAAAUAAGAGAAUGAUAAACCUAAAAAUAAUAUAUGAUCUACAUUACCAUGCAAACUUCCUCCGAAAAUUGGUUUGAACGAGAUCUAGUAAGUAGUUUUUUUUUUAAUACGUCAUAAA